rnacentral:sRNA from 1 species
CUCCACCAUCUGUCCCACCCAUCACAUCCUCUUUUUCAUACUAUUUAUUUACUCUACACUUUAAUCAGAUCUAUCCUCACGCCAAUCCAAUCAAAUCAAAAUUUCUAACUUUUUUAAAAAUAAUUAACUUUCACAUCAACUUCAACUCCUAAUCAACUUUUUAUUAGUUUCCUGCAUCCCCUCUCGUAUGAUCAACACCGUAACCAAGCAUCAAAUCUGCAAAACAUAUGAUCCCAUAUACAACAACCAUCAAAAACCAUACAAAGGUUCGCCAGUGGAAUUUACAAAACUUGACCCAAUGAACAUAAGUUAUUGCAGUCCUAAGUAGGUGGAGGUGCCAGGGAGGAAACGGUAUCGUUUCAAAGGGAGUUUGUUUUGUUUGUUUGGUGAAGAACCUGAAGAGCAGUUAGUAGUAGUAUAUUAUAUAUCAUAUCACAUAGCUAAGGUCAAGGUAAGAGCGGCUUUAACGUCCAACCUCCACGCAAAACCUCCACAAUCCAUACUCCAAACGUCACAUGGCACAGUUCUCUCUUUCCCCGAAGCGUACUGCAGCCUAACCCAGCCCGUGAACCCUCGGUACGGAUACGAUACGCUCGCUUUCAUCGCCAGCCAUACUCCUCCCUCACCAACUGCCUCCCUGUACGCACCAUUCGUCCACGUCACCCUCCCGUAACCGUCUGAUAUAAACCCCGGACACGUGUCCUCUUCUAGUUUAGCCUUCCUCUCCUCGUCUCCACUCCCCAACCCCGGCCCCUCCUCCUCCCGCCACAUCUUCGUCACGCACUCCACCGUCACCACCGAUCCCGCCGCCGGGAACCAGAACGGAUCCACCGACGCACCUGCACCGCCGCGGUUCCCGAAGCUCAGCCACACCGGCGCGUCCUUGUGGCUUUCUCUGGUGGUUGUUUUCUUCAGAACCGGAGUCUCCGGCAGCAGCGGGAGCGUUGUAGGCGGAGGUGGUGGAGGAGGCGCGAUUCUGCUCCGAGUGCAGCGCUUGGUGUUGGUGUUGGAGUUGGAGUUGGUGUUACCUUUUGCGCGCUUUCGCUUAGAUGCGACGGAUCUGGAGAAGACGUCGGCAGUGGUUUCGGAGGAAGAAGCGUCGGAAAGAGCAGCGGCGGGAAGGGGUUUGGGGGCUAUAGGGCGAAAGCCUAACAUUAUUGUGUGGACCUUGGAGAUGCGGUGUGCAGCAGGUGUUUGACACUUGGUCAUGCAGCAGCCUCCCUUAGUUUCCAUUUGUGUGUUUAGGGUUUUCUGUGUUUAUGGUUUGGAGAGAAAGAGAGAGUGACCGUGAAAGAGUUUGGAGAAACACAGAGGGAAAUGCAGGGAGUGGAGGUUGGGUUUAUAGGAAUAGUGGGGAGAGACGACACGAGUG